UGGGGAAUAUUGGACAAUGGGCGAAAGCCUGAUCCAGCCAUGCCGCGUGUGUGAAGAAGGUCUUCGGAUUGUAAAGCACUUUAAGUUGGGAGGAAGGGCAGUAAGCGAAUACCUUGCUGUUUUGACGUUACCGACAGAAUAAGCACCGGCUAACUCUGUGCCAGCAGCUGCGGUAAUACAGAGGGUGCAAGCGUUAAUCGGAAUUACUGGGCGUAAAGCGCGCGUAGGUGGUUCGUUAAGUUGAAUGUGAAAGCCCCGGGCUCAACCUGGGAACUGCAUCCAAAACUGGCGAGCUAGAGUAGGGCAGAGGGUGGUGGAAUUUCAUGUGUAGCGGUGAAAUGCGUAGAUAUAGGAAGGAACACCAGUGGCGAAGGCGACCACCUGGGCGCAUACUGACACUGAGGUGCGAAAGCGUGGGGAGCAAACAGG
rnacentral:rRNA from 1 species